rnacentral:miRNA from 1 species
AGAAUUGCGUUUGGACAAUCAGC